AGAGUUUGAUCCUGGCUCAGGAUGAACGCUGGCGGCGUGCCUAAUACAUGCAAGUCGAGCGAACAGAUGAGAAGCUUGCUUCUCUGAUGUUAGCGGCGGACGGGUGAGUAACACGUGGGUAACCUACCUAUAAGACUGGGAUAACUCCGGGAAACCGGGGCUAAUACCGGAUAAUAUAUUGAACCGCAUGGUUCAAUGUUGAAAGACGGUUUCGGCUGUCACUUAUAGAUGGACCCGCGCCGUAUUAGCUAGUUGGUAAGGUAACGGCUUACCAAGGCAACGAUACGUAGCCGACCUGAGAGGGUGAUCGGCCACACUGGAACUGAGACACGGUCCAGACUCCUACGGGAGGCAGCAGUAGGGAAUCUUCCGCAAUGGGCGAAAGCCUGACGGAGCAACGCCGCGUGAGUGAUGAAGGUCUUAGGAUCGUAAAACUCUGUUGUUAGGGAAGAACAAAUUUGUUAGUAACUGAACAAGCCUUGACGGUACCUAACCAGAAAGCCACGGCUAACUACGUG
rnacentral:rRNA from 1 species